GCCAAGGUGGUGCAGUAGUUUGAAUGUUGGACUAUGACUCUAGAUGCCAGGGUUCGAUUCCAAGCUCAGCCA